rnacentral:rRNA from 1 species
UCGGGGAACGAUAACGGCGUCGAGCGGCGGACGGGUGAGUAAUGCCUAGGAAAUUGCCCUGGUGUGGGGGAUAACCAUUGGAAACGAUGGCUAAUACCGCAUAAUACCUUCGGGUCAAAGAGGGGGACCUUCGGGCCUCUCGCGUCAGGAUAUGCCUAGGUGGGAUUAGCUAGUUGGUGAGGUAAUGGCUCACCAAGGCGACGAUCCCUAGCUGGUCUGAGAGGAUGAUCAGCCACACUGGAACUGAGACACGGUCCAGACUCCUACGGGAGGCAGCAGUGGGGAAUAUUGCACAAUGGGCGCAAGCCUGAUGCAGCCAUGCCGCGUGUGUGAAGAAGGCCUUCGGGUUGUAAAGCACUUUCAGUCGUGAGGAAGGUAGUGUAGUUAAUAGCUGCAUUAUUUGACGUUAGCGACAGAAGAAGCACCGGCUAACUCCGUGCCAGCAGCCGCGGUAAUACGGAGGGUGCGAGCGUUAAUCGGAAUUACUGGGCGUAAAGCG